UACGUAGGGUGCAAGCGUUAAUCGGAAUUACUGGGCGUAAAGCGUGCGCAGGCGGUUCGUUGUGUCGGCGGUGAAAGCCCCGGGCUUAACCUGGGAAUGGCCGUUGAAACUGGCGAACUGGAGUGUGGCCGAGGGGGGUGGAAUUCCGCGUGUAGCAGUGAAAUGCGUAGAGAUGUGGAGGAACACCGAUGGCGAAGGCAGCCUCCUGGGCCAGCACUGACGCUCAUGCACGAAAGCGUGGGGAGCAAACAGG
rnacentral:rRNA from 1 species